rnacentral:miRNA from 1 species
GCAGACACAUUCCAGCCAAUCAGCAGCAGACCCUCCCUCCCAGACCCUCCCACCUCCUGGACAGCAUCCAUUUUGAAGCUGCAUUCUUAGUGAGCUGUCCAAGAGGUGGGAGGGUCUGGGAGGGAGGGUCUGCUGCUGAUUGGCUGGAAUGUGUCUG